GUCGAGCUAAGUCACAAGAGCUUGUAACCCAAGUGGGGACAACUUUGUGGUUCUUGAGAUGGAGUUGUGGAUGGUAAAAGUUGGCUUGCCCAUUCCAAGUUGAGAGUUGGGUGAUGGGACAUGUGCGAAGGCAUAAGUCUCAACUGUCUUCGACAAGAGGAAACUGCGUGAGGCUGGUUUCACAGAGCAACGAUUACCUCUAUCUCUCAAUAGUGGAGGGAUAACGAGUUAUCGCCACCACUUCCUUAAAUUAUCACCUUUUUUUAUUGAGUUUUAAUU
rnacentral:SRP_RNA from 2 species